GAUGUAUAUUAUCAUUAGACACUAACGGUCUCAGUUUUUUGCUUCAGAUUAGCUGUUUACUGGUGUUUCAUUAGAUCCAAUAUCUCUUGGAUAGAGUAUUAGAGCUGAAAAUCCAUUAGAUAAUGCUGUAUGCAUAUUGUUCUACAUGGUCUGCAGCUUAUAUCAAAUGUCCAAUGCAGCUGGUAAAUUUGACCUAUCGCCCAUGA
rnacentral:misc_RNA from 1 species